UACGGAGGGUGCAAGCGUUAUCCGGAUUCACUGGGUUUAAAGGGUGCGUAGGAGGGCAGGUAAGUCAGUGGUGAAAUCUUCGAGCUUAACUCGGAAACUGCCGUUGAUACUAUCUGUCUUGAAUCCCGUGGAGAUGAGCGGAAUAUGUCAUGUAGCGGUGAAAUGCUUAGAUAUGACAUAGAACACCAAUUGCGAAGGCAGCUCGUUACACGAAGAUUGACUCUGAGGCACGAAAGCGUGGGGAGCAAAAGGG
rnacentral:rRNA from 1 species